rnacentral:rRNA from 1 species
UACAGAGGGUGCGAGCGUUAAUCGGAAUUACUGGGCGUAAAGCGUGCGUAGACGGUUUUCGUAAGUCGGGUGUGAAAUCCCCCGGGCUCAACCUGGGGAAUUGCAUUCGAAACUGCGAGGCUAGGGUACGGAAGAGGGAAGCGGAAUUUCUGGUGUAGCGGUGAAAUGCGCAGAUAUCAGGAGGAACACCGGUGGCGAAGGCGGGGUCUCUGGGCAACAACUGACGCUGAGGAGCGAAAGCGUGGGGAGCGAACAGG